GAAAUAGAACCUGAAACCGUGUGCUUACAAGUAGUCAGAGCCCGUUAAUGGGUGAUGGCGUGCCUUUUGUAGAAUGAACCGGCGAGUUACGAUUUGAUGCAAGGUUAAGCAGUAAAUGUGGAGCCGUAGCGAAAGCGAGUCUGAAUAGGGCGUUUAGUAUUUGGUCGUAGACCCGAAACCAGGUGAUCUACCCUUGGUCAGGUUGAAGUUCAGGUAACACUGAAUGGAGGACCGAACCGACUUACGUUGAAAAGUGAGCGGAUGAACUGAGGGUAGCGGAGAAAUUCCAAUCGAACCUGGAGAUAGCUGGUUCUCUCCGAAAUAGCUUUAGGGCUAGCCUCAAGUGAUGAUUAUUGGAGGUAGAGCACUGUUUGGACGAGGGGCCCCUCUCGGGUUACCGAAUUCAGACAAACUCCGAAUGCCAAUUAAUUUAACUUGGGAGUCAGAACAUGGGUGAUAAGGUCCGUGUUCGAAAGGGAAACAGCCCAGACCACCAGCUAAGGUCCCAAAAUAUAUGUUAAGUGGAAAAGGAUGUGGCGUUGCCCAGACAACUAGGAUGUUGGCUUAGAAGCAGCCAUCAUUUAAAGAGUGCGUAAUAGCUCACUAGUCGAGUGACACUGCGCCGAAAAUGUACCGGGGCUAAACAUAUUACCGAAGCUGUGGAUUGUCCUUUGGACAAUGGUAGGAGAGCGUUCUAAGGGCGUUGAAGCAUGAUCGUAAGGACAUGUGGAGCGCUUAGAAGUGAGAAUGCCGGUGUGAGUAGCGAAAGACGGGUGAGAAUCCCGUCCACCGAUUGACUAAGGUUUCCAGAGGAAGGCUCGUCCGCUCUGGGUUAGUCGGGUCCUAAGCUGAGGCCGACAGGCGUAGGCGAUGGAUAACAGGUUGAUAUUCCUGUACCACCUAUAAUCGUUUUAAUCGAUGGGGGGACGCAGUAGGAUAGGCGAAGCGUGCGAUUGGAUUGCACGUCUAAGCAGUAAGGCUGAGUAUUAGGCAAAUCCGGUACUCAUUAAGGCUGAGCUGUGAUGGGGAGAAGACAUUGUGUCUUCGAGUCGUUGAUUUCACACUGCCGAGAAAAGCCUCUAGAUAGAAAAUAGGUGCCCGUACCGCAAACCGACACAGGUAGUCAAGAUGAGAAUUCUAAGGUGAGCGAGCGAACUCUCGUUAAGGAACUCGGCAAAAUGACCCCGUAACUUCGGGAGAAGGGGUGCUCUUUAGGGUUAACGCCCAGAAGAGCCGCAGUGAAUAGGCCCAAGCGACUGUUUAUCAAAAACACAGGUCUCUGCUAAACCGUAAGGUGAUGUAUAGGGGCUGACGCCUGCCCGGUGCUGGAAGGUUAAGAGGAGUGGUUAGCUUCUGCGAAGCUACGAAUCGAAGCCCCAGUAAACGGCGGCCGUAACUAUAACGGUCCUAAGGUAGCGAAAUUCCUUGUCGGGUAAGUUCCGACCCGCACGAAAGGCGUAACGAUUUGGGCACUGUCUCAACGAGAGACUCGGUGAAAUCAUAGUACCUGUGAAGAUGCAGGUUACCCGCGACAGGACGGAAAGACCCCGUGGAGCUUUACUGUAGCCUGAUAUUGAAAUUCGGCACAGCUUGUACAGGAUAGGUAGGAGCCUUUGAAACGUGAGCGCUAGCUUACGUGGAGGCGCUGGUGGGAUACUACCCUAGCUGUGUUGGCUUUCUAACCCGCACCACUUAUCGUGGUGGGAGACAGUGUCAGGCGGGCAGUUUGACUGGGGCGGUCGCCUCCUAAAAGG
rnacentral:rRNA from 1 species